rnacentral:rRNA from 1 species
UACGAAGGGGGCUAGCGUUGUUCGGAUUUACUGGGCGUAAAGCGCACGUAGGCGGAUCGAUCAGUCAGGGGUGAAAUCCCAGAGCUCAACUCUGGAACUGCCUUUGAUACUGUCGAUCUGGAGUAUGGAAGAGGUGAGUGGAAUUCCGAGUGUAGAGGUGAAAUUCGUAGAUAUUAGCAGGAACACCGGUGGCGAAGGCGGCUAUCUGGACGACAACUGACGCUGAGGCGCGAAAGUGUGGGGAUCAAACAGG